CGCCGAACACAUCGAGAAGCGACGCAAAGUGACGCCUCCGUGCGAUGCCGCUCGCAGCCUGGAAGAGGAGGAUGAUACCUGGGGAAAUACUGAGUUCGAAGUGGUGGAGCAGUCAUCUGCUAAAUCAGUUACCCUGGAUGCUGCAGCUGGUGGACAGCUGGCUGCCGCAGCGUCCCCAGCCGCUACGGCCCUGACCGACAGCC